rnacentral:lncRNA from 1 species
AGAAAGUUAAAUAAUAUUUUAUUUUUGUAAUAAAAUGUUAUUAUUAAAAUUUUCAAUUAUUUUAAAAUUUUAUUUUAUUUACGGAUCAAAUCGGAUAUUCUUUAAAAUUCUAAAACAUUUCGGAUAUCCGAGUCACCAAAUAUCAAGGUGGCUAAAGAUCGAAUCGACACGAAUGCUUCCAAGUACUCAUAUAUUCGAUCUGGCCCCACCCCUAUUUACGGAUACAACUUUAUUUUCUUUAUAUGAAAAAUGACUAAUGUCAAAGCCUUUUUUAUUUCAAAUUAAUUUAAAUUUUAUCUUUCAUGUAUUAUUUUGAACAAAAAUGUCAUUUCAUAUUAAUUAACAAUAUCUUUAUAUAUAUUUGUCAACUAUUUUUAUAUACUUUUUACAUACUCAUACAACAACUGAAAUAUCUAUUUUUUUUUAAAGUUGAAAUAUUUUUUCUUAUUGCUUCUUUCACUACCGACCAAAUUGUAGUAAAAUGAUUUGUCUAUAAUAAUUUUCUUUUCUUUUUCUUUAAAUAUUAUAUGUUUGAAACUAUAAUAUUAACUAUUGGUUCGACAUGACAACUAUCUAAAAUUCAUAACAUGAAAAUAAACAAAUAAUAUUAAUUUUUGAUUUUUACCGGAAAAAAAACCAAAAAAUCAAACAUUUUAACCGAAUAAACUAAAAUGAAUACUCCCUCCGUUUCUGAAUAAGUGUCGUUGGAGAGAAAUUUUUUCGUUACAAAAUAAGUGUCAUUUUCGAUUUUCAGUUCAAAAUUUAUUAGUUUUAUUGAGUAAUUUAUUUUUCUAUUGGUUGAAAUAUGGUUAGAUAUAGUGGUAAUUGUGUUUUUAUAUAGGAAAUAUACAAAAUUAAUUGUUUCCUUAAUCCGUGUGCAUAGACCCAAAACGACACUUAGUAUGAAAAGGAGGGAGUAUAAAUUUAAAAUAAUAGUUAUAUUUUAGAAGAUUAAAAAUAAAAAAAAAACUUAAAACCGAACUAAUAUCCAGAUUAAACAGAUUUAGUGUCUAUUUAUUAAAAAUAACGAAACUAAUAAUCACAUCCCGUGCAAGGCGCGGGUUAUUACCUAGUUUAUAAUUAAAGCCAUUACAUUUGAGAAAAUACUUUUUUUUUAACUCAACAACUAUUUUUCAUUAGCCAACUUACUGCUCUACAAAAGACUUAUCAGCCUCC